UACGUAGGUGGCAAGCGUUGUCCGGAAUUAUUGGGCGUAAAGCGCGCGCAGGCGGUCCUUUAAGUCUGAUAUGAAAGCCCACGGCUCAACCGUGGAGGGUCAUUGGAAACUGGGGGACUUGAGUACAGAAGAGAAGAGUGGAAUUCCACGUGUAGCGGUGAAAUGCGUAGAGAUGUGGAGGAACACCAGUGGCGAAGGCGACUCUUUGGUCUGUAACUGACGCUGAGGCGCGAAAGCGUGGGGAGCAAACAGG
rnacentral:rRNA from 1 species